rnacentral:rRNA from 1 species
GUUUACUGCUUGGGGAUGGGGUUGCGUUCCAUCAGCUAGUUGGCGGGGUAAAGGCCCACCAAGGCAACGACGGAUAGCCGGCCUGAGAGGGUGGCCGGCCACAGGGGCACUGAGACACGGGUCCCACUCCUACGGGAGGCAGCAGUUAGGAAUCUUCCACAAUGGGCGAAAGCCUGAUGGAGCGACGCCGCGUGAGGGAUGAAGGUUCUCGGAUCGUAAACCUCUGAAUCAGGGACGAAAGACGCGUAAGCGGGAUGACGGUACCUGAGUAAUAGCACCGGCUAACUCCG